rnacentral:lncRNA from 1 species
GUGUGUUUUCCUUUCUUUUCUCGGACUCCAGGCUCAUGACUGCUUAUUUGCAUGGUGUUUUGGUGUCAAAGGAGUGUUGAAUGUCUUCUCCACAUACCCAGCUUUAUUCCACUCUAGGAGUUUAACUUCUUCAACAUUGUUAUGAGGUCCCCGGUGACCUCAGUUUCUCCUCUCCGCGUCAUCCAGGACUUCAUCUGAAGCUUGAGCUACAUGUAAGACUUCAUCUACCUUGCACAGGGCAAUGGAGAGAGGAUGGCAUACCAGAAUCAGCAGAUGACAGACAUCGGGGUGCUGUCGGACCCGGGAAUCAGAACCUCUGCAGAUAGAUAUUUUGGAAGGCACUCCCUAGAUUGGCACCUCUGGUUAGAACCCUGCCCAGGGACUGGACAAGUUGAGCCCAUGGCUCAUAUCUGGCCAGUGUUCAUUGCUUUGUUGAAUCACACUUAAUCCUUUGGUUUUGGUAGAUUCCUGCAAGUAGACUGACAGCCGCAUGUUUGCAGGAAAGUUAAAUAUUUUGACAGCGCAGAAGACUGCUGCAUCUGGAGGGUUCUGGGUCCAGCUAUAACCAGACUUGCCUGUCCUAAACAAAUGGAUUGACUGCUUCCGGCAUCCUCACUUUACUUCUGCACGGUGACCAACAUCCGGAGCUUAAUUACCUGACAGCCGGGAGGUAGGGGGCAAAGGAAACCUUUUAAUUUAUAGUAAGAAGUGAUCAGUUCCUUUUUUGGGUCUUAGUUAGAAUCCAGGUGCACUUGAAACAAUAAAACCUUGUAUAUAGUUUUCUCCUAUAAGAAACUUCUCAGAUAUUUACCAAAAUCCUGGAAAAAUAUAUAUUGGUCAAUAUACCACAAUUCCCACAAGAGGUAAAUAUUUACAAAAUCUACUUUGGGCAGUGAUGCUGCAAGAAUAUUAAAAGGCGUUGACUUUAUCGUCAAGUGAAUUAUUUCUUAAUUUUUUAAAAUUUAAAUCACAGUAUACUUGACAAGCUACAGCAGUAGGAAAACACCUUUGCUUUAAACAAAACUACCUUUUCUCAGCAAGAACAGUUACUAGAGUGGGAAAUAAGGUUAAUUUCAGUUUUAUUAAUAAUAUCUGAAAUGAAAUAAUGUUACAACUCGCCCCUCUAACCUCGUUGCUAGACA